UAGGGAAUCUUCGGCAAUGGACGAAAGUCUGACCGAGCAACGCCGCGCGAGUGAAGAAGGUUUUCGGAUCGUAAAACUCUGUUGUUAGAGAAGAACAAGGACGUUAGUAACUGAACGUCCCCUGACGGUAUCUAACCAGAAAGCCACGGCUAACUACGUGCCAGCAGCCGCGGUAAUACGUAGGUGGCAAGCGUUGUCCGGAUUUAUUGGGCGUAAAGCGAGCGCAGGCGGUUUCUUAAGUCUGAUGUGAAAGCCCCCGGCUCAACCGGGGAGGGUCAUUGGAAACUGGGAGACUUGAGUGCAGAAGAGGAGAGUGGAAUUCCAUGUGUAGCAGUGAAAUGCGUAGAUAUAUGGAGGAACACCAGUGGCGAAGGCGGCUCUCUGGUCUGUAACUGACGCUGAGGCUCGAAAGCGUGGGGAGCAAACAGG
rnacentral:rRNA from 1 species